GGACGCUUGUGUUUGUGCGGCUCGACAGGCUGUCAGGCUGCUAACCUGAACCUGGGAGCCGGUGAUCCUCACAAGGAGACAAACUCUUCAAGCCUGAGUAUACCCAACUGUUGCAGUGGAAAAAUAUCUGAUGAAAUCAGCGCAAGGGAAGGUCCCUUUUAUUCAACUCACACCUGCGGCUUCCCUCAGCUGGGCGGUCAUUUGGCAGAUUUCGGCAGGCAGUUGGCGAGACGUCGUUAAGUCAAGCAGUCCCCUGAGAGACUCAGACUGACUCAGUGUAAACACGCACUGUGAUGGUCCAUCUCUGGAGGUUGUGUCUGACUGCCUCCGAGCAGGUUGCGAUGGGCUUUGUCAUCAUUCAGGGACAAAUGGUAGCCUCCCCUUCGUCUUUAUCUUCUGGAUCGAUUCAUGCCAUUUUUCAACUACUACCUCUGGCCGUGCUGAGUCAAAAUGCACCACGCUGAUUUGCUUUUCCAUCACCAGUUUUUCUGCGCCUAGUUGAGCGGAACUGUGCCCGAGAUAGACCUGCUCCAGAGUAGGGCCAAGCCAUGGCCGCCUUGCCUCCAAGCGGACCCAGGUGAAGAUUUACUUAGUAAGGCCAUGCUAGCUCAGUUAUGGAAAGGAGCUUUUGGAAAUGUCUCAAAAAAAGAGGAAUUGUU